rnacentral:rRNA from 1 species
UGCGAGUUGCGGGCCAGCAGCCGCGGUAAUACGAAUGUAGGGAGCGUUGUUCGGAAUCACUGGGCUUAAAGCGUGCGUAGGUGGAUUGGUAAGUAAGGAGUGAAAUCCCAGGGCUUAACCCUGGAACUGCUCUUUAGACUGCCUGUCUGGAAUUCGGAAGAGGUUGGUGGAACUCCCAGUGUAGAGGUGAAAUUCGCAGAUAUUGGGAAGAACACCGGUGGCGAAGGCGACCAACUGGUCCGACAUUGACACUGAGGCACGAAAGCGUGGGUAGCAAACAGGAUUAGAUACCCUGGUAGUC